GUGAUUGCCGAAAUUAUUCCCGAUGUGAGAUAUUCACAAUUGCGCUAUAGCAUAAGCGCGCUAUAUGUUGCGCGUUGCGAGCUAUAUCUCGUGUGCGUACGUAUCGUAACCGACAAAGCUGUUCUCCCACUUUACGAGACAGUCUUCACGGUCGCGUGACAAGCUUGUGAUCAAAGCGCGUCAUAAUUGCUGUUGAAACCUCGCAGCGCGUGAUCGAUCCGCGUUAACGCGUAUAGAACGUAUCGAAAAAUGGUUCCCGCGAAGCUACAAAGCCAGCAAGUUGACCGAAUUGGUCGAUCGAUCUUUUCGGACGAGAAGCCAAGGAUUUCCAUCGUGUUCUUCGAACGAGUUAAAACGUGGCCGUACACUCGAAUCAACUAACUAUACAUAUAUAUAUUCGAGGCGCUUGCUUCUCAAUAUACGCAAAUACGAAAUCUUCGAGGUUCCCUGGUGUCGCGUCCAAAGCUAAUGGCACAAAGAUAAUCCCUUUGGGUAACCCUCUUGGUUCUCGUCUGCUCGUCCCGUUAGUUUCAAAGGUCUUCAAAGCACUAGGCCGUUAAUUGGCAUAAAACGCCUUCGAGUCAAGAGGACCCUUAUGGUUAUUGCUCCAUCAGGUGAAAAAGUGGGGAAACGUGGGUUUUCCCAUUUUUCCCGGGAUUCCACCCGCAAGCGACCAGUGGUGGUGCGACCACCACCCAGCAAGAGUUUUCCUUUGCGACAACAUCGUCACCGAACUUCACUGGUUCAACGACUUUAGAUCAGUCAACAUCUCGGCACUGGUCUAUAUCUACUUUAGAUCAGGUAUUUCUCUAACUUACACAUCCGCACCGAGCGUAAGCAUCUUGUCUACAAGUUGUUGGAAAUACAUAAUAUCUUUGAACUGUUAA